AAGGCGGAGAACGUAGUAGCACCUGCUGCAGUUGACAAGUGGAGCGUACACACACAAAACAAAAGACAAGGCACCCGCAUUCCACUCAUUUGGACCCUGGCUUUUUGCCUACGGCUGACGCGCGCGUAAAAAGAGAAUAGAAUGGGGUGCUUUAAAGGGGCACUCGCCAUUUAGUUAUUGGGUUAAUAAAACAACAGUGCGAGGGCGAAAGCAAAGGCAAAACAAAGCUCACCUAGUUGUGAACGAAAUGCACUCGGAUAACGAAAUGUUGGAAUUCCCAGCAAGUCAAAACCAACACUAUGCGCAAAAAGGGAAGACUCUUUCUCUGACCAAAACGACUGACUAACUGGAAAAAGAGGACAGAUCUACUAUCUAUCUACUAUCAAAUUUUUAUUACGCUUCACUAAGUUUUGCAGGGGAGAACGCCCAGGGCGCGGAAUGGAAUGCCACGAGCAGUCGUAAUAACUCGAGUGCUUCGGGGCACAUCCUUCAUCAGCAUCCUUGGGCAACGUUGCAAUCAAAGCGAGAUGGAGAUGCUGAUGGCUGCGACAUCUUAAAUGAUUCAACACCUUGAGCUUGAGCGGAUAAGAUCCUUCGAGCAGGACGACGGACAUAUCAAUCAGGAAAAAAGCAGUCAUUGUCGGAACUCUCGCCCCCGCCCUUCUCCGCGCUUCUCAUCGAGUUGAUGUCCUUGUCGCCGAGUGAUAUGAGACCGCCCACUCCAUCACCCUUCAUCAUCGUGUCUGUCUUCCCAGGACUCCCCUGCUCCACAUCCAGCUCCCUGCCAGCUCUGUCGUCGCGGCAAACACGAGGGAAAUUCUUUUGCUAAUGCCAAACACAUCCGUUCUUUAUUUGAUACCCUUAUUAAGGGAGCGUAACAAGUUGUAGUGAAAAUAUGCGAAGGCAGAAUAUGCUACAUCUUGCAAAUGAAGUAAGGAAUGCAAAGUUAAGUUCUAUUACAUUAAAGUGUGGGAAUUGCUUACACAUUAAAAGCCCACAAAAUCAUAAAGUAUCAAGCCCGUGCUCGGUAUCUUGUAGUCGUUAUGCUAACAACUAAAUCUUUAUCCAUUCCCCAAGUAUUAAUGUCGCCGGCACAAAGACCGAGAUGGGAUCUUCGAGAUGUCGAUGGCUUAUUAGCCAGGCACUUUCGCAUGCCUUCACACACCUGUAAUGCCGAGCAUGUGUAAUUCCCUGAUGUCUGGGGAGCAGUGAUAUUUCCCAGCCCGCUGAUUGACUUCCGUUCUUCCGCACUUGUCGCCCAUCCCCAAGAAGCCUUAAUCGAUUUUACACCCAAAGGACAUUUUCUGGUGAUUGUGUCUGCGGUUUGUUCGCUGCCUUUGAUUUCCAGCGACUUCCC
rnacentral:sRNA from 1 species